AGCCAUGCGAGUCUUUGUAGUAAUACAAGGCAGACGGCUCAGUAACACGUAGUCAACCUACCCUAUGGACGAGAAUAAUCUCGGGAAACUGAGCAUAAUUCUUGAUAGAUCAUAAUGCCUGGAAUGGUUUAUGGUUAAAAUGAUUCGUCGCCAUAGGAUGGGACUGCGGCCUAUCAGCUUGUUGGUGAGGUAAUGGCCCACCAAGGCGAUUACAGGUACGGGCUCUGAGAGGAGAAGCCCGGAGAUGGGUACUGAGACACGGACCCAGGCCCUAUGGGGCGCAGCAGGCGAGAAAACUUUGCAAUGUGCGAAAGCACGACAAGGUUAAUCCGAGUGAUUUCUGCUAAAGAAAUCUUUUGCCAGUCAUAAAACCACUGGUGAAUAAGGGGUGGGCAAGUUCUGGUGUCAGCCGCCGCGGUAAAACCAGCACCUCAAGUGGUCAGGAUGAUUAUUGGGCCUAAAGCAUCCGUAGCCUGCUCUGUAAGUUUUCGGUUAAAUCUGUAUGCUCAACAUACAGGCCGCCGGGAAUACUGCAGAGCUAGGGAGUGGGAGAGGUAGACGGUACUCGGGAGGAAGUGGUAAAAUGCUUUGAUCUCUCGAUGACCACCUGUGGCGAAGGCGGUCUACCAGAACACGUCCGACGGUGAGGGAUGAAAGCUGGGGGAGCAAACCGGAUUAGAUACCCGGGUAGUCCCAGCUGUAAACGAUGCAGACUCGAUGAUGCAUUGGCAUAAUAGCCAGUGCAGUGUCGCAGGGAAGCCGUUAAGUCUGCCGCCUGGGAAGUACGUACGCAAGUAUGAAACUUAAAGGAAUUGGCGGGGGAGCACCACAAGGGGUGAAGCCUGCGGUUCAAU
rnacentral:rRNA from 1 species